GACGAACGCUGGCGGCGUGCUUAACACAUGCAAGUCGAACGAAGAGCGAUGGAAGCUUGCUUCUAUCAAUCUUAGUGGCGAACGGGUGAGUAACGCGUAAUCAACCUGCCCUUCAGAGGGGGACAACAGUUGGAAACGACUGCUAAUACCGCAUACGAUCUAAUCUCGGCAUCGAGGAUAGAUGAAAGGUGGCCUCUACAUGUAAGCUAUCACUGAAGGAGGGGAUUGCGUCUGAUUAGCUAGUUGGAGGGGUAACGGCCCACCAAGGCGAUGAUCAGUAGCCGGUCUGAGAGGAUGAACGGCCACAUUGGGACUGAGACACGGCCCAGACUCCUACGGGAGGCAGCAGUGGGGAAUCUUCCGCAAUGGACGAAAGUCUGACGGAGCGACGCCGCGUGAGCGAUGACGGCCUUCGGGUUGUAAAGCUCUGUUAAUCGGGACGAAAGGCCUUCUUGCGAAUAGUGAGAAGGAUUGACGGUACCGGAAUAGAAAGCCACGGCUAACUACGUG
rnacentral:rRNA from 1 species